AUGCCCACACAUGUAGGUGUACGGUGUUAAAAGUCCAAGCAGAGUUUUGAGUGUGCCUGUGUGUUUCCACUCCGACUAUGUGACUGUCACCACCAUUUGCUCUAGGGCAGAAAGACCAAUAGACAGAGACGGCUGCCAGCUUAGACUUUAGUGUGCCUGCUUGGCUCUGUCCAGCGUGACCUGGUGUGACCACCCUUUCUAGGUAAAGAGGAUUCUGCCUGCAUUGGACAAUAAAUCCUCAGGCUGCCUGUGGAUGACUCUAAGUCAACAGGAUGGUAGAGGUUUUAGGACUUAAUAUCACCAGGCAAGGGCCAGUGCUGAUCCGUCAGAGUGAAUCCAGAUUUUGACGAGAGAUCUACGUGUCACUAAUACAGGCAGGCUUCUGGCUGCUGUGCCUGUGGUAGAUGGAUCGAGCUAAGUGAUCGUGGGGUUACUCUCCUGGCACAUCAUUUCUACUCUCCGACAAAAUCCACCCGUCUAAGUUCCUCUCCCUGAAGGCUACAAAACCAGAAAGGCUUGGCUGAAUCUGUUUCGAAACACAAAUCCAGGAUUAGAGAAGAACUCUACUGUUUGGAAUAGUGGUGGACUCGAUUCUUUGGAAUAUCUUGGUGAGUGAAAUGAAGUCACCAGCAAUAUUUUCUCCACACUGGUCACCGUGGGAACCGAAAGCAGUGAAGCCCAGUGGACUGACAACUGAGACGAUGCAGAUGCCACAGUAUGGGGGUCUAGGGGGCCAUCCUAAGAUGGGUAACACUUUGCUCAGAAGCUGGGACACCUACUGCUUCCUGCCCAGAUACAUCCCUAAGUAAGGUGCUCAUUUCAACCCCUGUACACAAUUUAAAUUCUAUACCAUAAUAUAAGGAACGAGAAGCAUGAUUACUGCCUUUUAGAGGCCCCUCUAAAUACCACAGCAGAACCAGCCAGAUAGACAAAUCAUUUCACAAAAGAAACGCAGUAAAUGACAAAUAGGAAAUCAAAAGGGCCCAGGGUCUGACUGGGACAGAGAACACUACCACCAGCCUUUGUGGAUGUGAUUAUGGGUUCUGAUUCCCAUUGUCUAAUCAAGGCUGAAGUGGCCCCUUGGAAGCAGUGCCCAAGCGACACAGCUGAUUUCAAAUGGACUUGUUCCCAACAUGGACUUGGUACAAGUCGUGAGAUCUAAAGUCAGAGUUUGAAACAUAAACCUGUCUCUCUAAAGCCAAGCUUCUCGUUGAACCUAAGGGUUUUCCAUGGGUACCAAGUAAAGCACGGGGCUGGGGACAACCAAAUGUUGGUUGCAAAUAUGGUUAUUUUGCAAAUAUGUUAUUUUCUGAGUGUCGAUGUAUAUUCAUAUACACUGUUUGACAUUCAUUCUAUGCAGGGUUGCAUGGCCAUUAUCCUGAAAUGGGUCUUACAGGUGAUUCAAAUGGUUUUCAAGGAGGAUUUUGGCUCCCCUUACUUUUUGUGUUAAGAUACAUUUCAGUGUCCAGACCAGUGUCCAGCAUGGGACAUACUGAGAAAACAAGAACAUAGAUGUUGUCCAGCACCCAAGUACUGAUCCAGACCUGCUUGUUAAUACAGUGGUAUCUCUUCUGGGAUAAAGACAAGAGAUAAGUGUGUGUAGCCCCGAGCGUGUGAGCUUAGCAACUCAGAACUAGGAGAACGUAUUUCCAAGUUUGUAUUCACAUGGGAAAAUUUAUACGUAUUAGCUUGGAUGCGGAUGGCUUUCCUGUCUGUGUUUCUCUAUGUAGCCAGAAAAACCUUCUGGACUUGUUUCUAUUCCAAGAGGCUGCAUGAAUGGUAAAACAUACAGAUGCCAACUUGAGUCAUAUAGAAGGGAACACGUGUUUUCGGGACAUACUAAAAUAGCACAGUAAAAUCGGGCAGGUGUUUGAUCAGGGAAUACGAAACCGUCUUCUCCAAAGACUCUGGAGGUUUUUUUUACUUGAAUGUUUUCAGCAAAAUAAACGGUUACUAGGAAAACAUGCUGUAAACGUAAGAAGGGUCUGCUGGCUUGAAAUGUGGCUGGCUGAUUUCUCCUUCCUUUGUAAUCCCAUUAAGCUCGGUAGCAAAACUCAGCCCUCCUGGCAGCUCUUCUCACCCGCAGCUGCCGGCAGAAAGUGCUCAGUGCCCAGAGUAAAGUCUUCAUUGGUUAAUGACCCUUGACCUUUCAUAGGUGGUGUCUUCCGUGGCAACACUUAGCUUGGAGGCUCCUACAUGAUAUACAGACUGACCAAGAGACAGCAUGGAAUUUCGUUGGAGUCCAAGGCUGGCGUGAUAAAAGGGAAUUACACACCCAAAGAUGUCUAUUCUGGAUUGACUCAACUGUUGAGUUAAUUUUUUUUUUAUUUAGGAUAUAGUGAUUUCUAAUUUGUACUGAUAACAAUCUAUUAGAGUUCUAACUGAUCUUGGUUGUCCAGACAGAAGGCAAGCAAAAUUUAAAAGAUGAUUUUUGCUACUUUUGGGUCUUGUUUCUAAGAACUUUGAAUGUGGCUUUUAAAACAUCAUUAAUACUGCGUACGGGCUGAAGCAUUUAAUGCCUCAUUUAUAGAUCAUUCUUUCUAUUCAGCUAGCAAAAAUCUCCCUGAAUUUUGGCAGUUUGUCUCCAUUAAUUUCAAAUAAACAUUUUAACCACGGACUCAAUAGCACUGAGUGUGUGCUCGGACCCCACUCUCCAGCCAUUUGCAGGUUAGAUUGUUCCUAAAAUGGGCCAGACCCUUCUCUGGGCGGAAGAGGGAGAAAUGUGAGUGAAAGUGGUGGUGGGGGGAUACUAAUGAAGAAAGAAUGAAAAGUUUUACGUUUAUGAAGCCUUUUAUUGUCCGAAAUGUUGGGGGGGGGGAAACAAGUCAAACAUGAUCCUCCUCCUUGCUCUCACUCUUUAUUUCCCCACCAGGCCCCAGUCUCCCC
rnacentral:sRNA from 1 species